rnacentral:rRNA from 1 species
AGCGAACGCUGGCGGCAUGCCUAACACAUGCAAGUCGCACGGGGGGGCUUCGGCCUCCCAGUGGCGGACGGGUGAGGAACGCGUAGGGACCUGUCGAGGGGUGGGGGAUAACCGCGGGAAACUGCGGCUAAUACCGCAUGACGCCGCGGCGUGACAGCCGGGGCCAAAGGCGAAAGCCGCCCGCCGAGGGGCCUGCGUCCGAUUAGCUGGUUGGCGGGGUAGCGGCCCACCAAGGCGUCGAUCGGUAGCUGGUCUGAGAGGGUGAUCAGCCACACCGGGACUGAGACACGGCCCGGACUCCUAUGGGAGGCAGCAGUGGGGAAUAUUGGACAAUGGGCGCAAGCCUGAUCCAGCAAUGCCGCGUGGGUGAAGAAGGUCUUCGGAUUGUAAAGCCCUUUCGGCGGGGACGAUGGUGACGGUACCCGCAGAAGAAGCCCCGGCUAACUUCGU